GAAUAUCAGAUCAGCAGUCAUUAGUACAAGACAGAAAGACAACAUGAUCAUCUUCUUCCUGAUCAUUCAUUUAAACAUUUUGUUGGUUUCAGGCUCCUCUCUCAGUGACAAAGUCUUCCAGACUCCAUCCAACAUUCACAUCAGACCAGGAAAAGAAGCCAGAAUCACCUGUAGACAUGAAAUAAGCAACUAUGACCAGAUCCUCUGGUACAAGCAGUCAGACAGACAGAUGAAGUUUCUGGGAAAUAUGAUUCGAAAAGCACCAACCCCUGAGGAUGGAGUGGAUGUGAGGAUUGAAGGAGAUGCAACUGAAAACCAGAACUGCACAUUAAUAAUUGAGAAAGUCCACCUGAACAACACUGCAGUGUAUUUCUGUGCAGCUCGCUCCUCUCUCAGUGACAAAGUCUUCCAGACUCCAUCCAACAUUCACAUCAGACCAGGAAAAGAAGCCAGAAUCACCUGUAGACAUGAAAUAAGCAGCUAUGACCAGAUCCUCUGGUACAAGCAGUCAGACAGACAGAUGAAGCUUCUGGGAAAUAUGGAUCGAAAAGCACCAACCCCUGAGGAUGGAGUGGAUCUCUCAGCUCCUUAUCACACCUGCAAUAAGCCACUGUAA